rnacentral:rRNA from 1 species
UACGUAGGUGGCAAGCGUUGUCCGGAAUUACUGGGCGUAAAGCGCGCGUAGGCGGCUUUGCAAGUCGGGUGUGAAAUCCCCAGGCUUAACCUGGGAACUGCAUUCGAGACUGCAUUGCUAGGGUAUGGGAGAGGGAAGUGGAAUUUCCGGUGUAGCGGUGAAAUGCGUAGAUAUCUGGAGGAACACCGGUGGCGAAGGCGGCAUCCUGGACCAAUACUGACACUGAGGAGCGAAAGCCAGGGGAGCAAACGGG